rnacentral:rRNA from 1 species
UACGUAGGGCGCAAGCGUUGUCCGGAAUUAUUGGGCGUAAAGAGCUCGUAGGCGGUCUGUCGCGUCCGUUGUGAAAACUCGAGGCUCAACCUCGGGCUUGCAGUGGAUACGGGCAGACUAGAGUGCGGUAGGGGAGACUGGAAUUCCUGGUGUAGCGGUGGAAUGCGCAGAUAUCAGGAGGAACACCGAUGGCGAAGGCAGGUCUCUGGGCCGCAACUGACGCUGAGGAGCGAAAGCAUGGGGAGCGAACGGG